ACUAACACAACAUUGUAAAGCAACUAUACCCCAAUUAAAAAAAAAAAAUGCAAAAUCAGCCUCGGCCUGUGUAGGUGGGGACUUCAGCCCUCUGCUGGCUGAAGGGAAAGACUGAGUUAGCCCAGCAGGCAGCUCGUGGCAAAAAAAAAAAAGCAAGCCACCGAGGUGCAGAAGCAGGGCCACUGCCCCCAGGCACGAGCAGGGAGGUAGGCGCUUGGCAAGCCGAGCUGAGAGCGGGGGAGAGGGAAACUGCAGCCACCAACCAGGGGCAGGGCCGCGCUAUUCAGUCUCUUAGCUCCACUGCUGUGGCCGGGGCCCCAUUAAGGGAUGCCCCCCCAGCACCCACAGAGAGGGCCAGACAACAAGUAACGCUUGUCUUCCACUGGCAGAACAAGUCCACUGACUGGCCACCCUGCCUCCCCCAAAAAGGCCAGAAGAAGGGCAGACGGAAGGAAGAGGGAAGAAAGAAAAGCAGGGAAGAAGGAUCGAGGGACACGCAGAAGAAUGUGUCUGCUGCUCCAAAUGUGGCAGCGUUUAAGCUCCCGUUAAAUGAUUGUUCUGUUUCUUCUGGUUCUUGGAGGGACGGGAGACAUUCAUCCUCUUUUGACUGUCCCUGUUGACUUUCCUGUGGCAAAGGCUCCUUCUCAGAAGCCGCUGACUUUCGCCAAAUCAGCAUCAAAUCACAACUGCCCUCCCGUGUGGACCCAGGUAAAGAAUCUGCAGCUCCUAAAGACUGAGGAACUUGACCAGGGCCACAGACACCUGGAGCCAGGAGGAACUCAGAUUCGUCAGACGUGAACUGCUGCCCUAAGUCAGGUUAGUGCCCUGCCCUUGACAGAGACUUAAAAACUACACAGAAAGGCAAUAAGGAGCUUUUGAGAUGAUG